UCUCAACCAGCUUCACCUCAGCUUCAGUCUUGAAGGAGUUCCCACAUAUGCCGAGCACUUAUUGGCUGUUUUUCCUUCACUCUGCAGCCCAACUCAUCCCAAACCAUCUCAAUUGGGUUGAGGUCAGGUGAUGCCAGGUCAUCUGAUGAAGCACUCCAACACUCUCCUUCUUAGUCAAAUAGCCCUUAGACAGCCUAGAGGUGUGUUGGGUCAUUGUCCUGUUGAAAAACAAAUGAUAGUCCCACUAAAUUCAAACCAGAUGGGAUGUCAAGCUGAUUAAGUAAGUCUUGAAAAAGACAGAGUUUGGAGGUUGGUUCACAAAGAAACAGGGUUUGGAGGUUGGUUCACAAAGAAACAUGGUUUGGAGGUUGGUUCACAAAGAAACAGAGGUUGGUUCACAAAGAAACAGAGGUUGGAGGUUGGUUCACAAAGAAACAGAGGUUGGUUCACAAAGAAACAGAGGUUGGAGGUUGGUUCACAAAGAAACAGAGGUUGGAGGUUGGUUCACAAAGAAACAGAGGUUGGUUCACAAAGAAACAGAGGUUGGAGGUUGGUUCACAAAGAAAUAGAGGUUGGAGGUUGGUUCACAAAGAAACAGAGGUUGGUUCACAAAGAAACAGAGGUUGGAGGUUGGUUCACAAAGAAACAGAGGUUGGAGGUUGGUUCACAAAGAAAUAGAGGUUGGAGGUUGGUUCACAAAGAAAUAGAGGUUGGAGGUUGGUUCACAAAGAAAUAGAGGUUGGAGGUUGGUUCACAAAGAAACAGAGGUUAGAGGUUGGUUCACAAAGAAACAGAGGUUGGUUCACAAAGAAACAGAGGUUGGAGGUUGGUUCACAAAGAAACAGAGGUUGGAGGUUGGUUCACAAAGAAACAGAGGUUGGAGGUUGGUUCACAAAGAAACAGAGGUUGGAGGUUGGUUCACAAAGAAACAGAGUUUAGAGGUUGGUUCACAAAGAAACAGAGGUUAGAGGUUGGUUCACAAAGAAACAGAG